rnacentral:rRNA from 1 species
CCCUUAGAUGUCCUGGGCCGCACGCGCGCUACACUGAGUGUCUGAGAUACGAGUCUGCCUGGUCCGGCAAGGUCUAGGUAAUCGCUGAAAGACACAUCAUGCUUGGGAUAGAUUAUUGCAAAUAUUAAUCUUGAACGAGGAAUUCCUAGUAAGCGCAAGUCAACAGCUUGCGUUGAUUACGUCCCUGCCCUUUGUACACACCGCCCGUCGCUACUACUGAUUGGAUGUUUAAGCGAGGUUCUCGAACUGCUAGCGACUUAGCUUCGGUGAGGUCGCAGUGUGGGAAGUGAACCUAGCUUUGGUGUCUAGAGGAAGUAAAAGUCGUAACA